GCUGGCGGCGUGUUUAACACAUGCAAGUCGCACGAGAACGUUUCAGCUUGCUGAAAUUAGUAAAGUGGCGCACGGGUGAGUAACGCGUGGGUAAUCUACCUCCGAAUUGGGGAUAACAUUGCGAAAGCGAUGCUAAUACCGAAUGACAUCUCAAUCACUUCGGUCUUUGAGAUCAAAGGUGGCCUCUGCAUGGAAGCUACUGUUUGGAGAUGAGCCCGCGUACCAUUAGCUUGUUGGUAGGGUAAUGGCCUACCAAGGCGACGAUGGUUAGCUGGUCUGAGAGGAUGAUCAGCCACACUGGAACUGACACACGGUCCAGACUCCUACGGGAGGCAGCAGUGAGGAAUUUUGCGCAAUGGGGGAAACCCUGACGCAGCAACGCCGCGUGAGUGAUGAAGGCUCUCGGGUCGUAAAGCUCUGUCAAGUGAGAAGAACCUGCCCUUUGUUAAUAUCACUGGGCACUGACGGUAUCACUGAAGGAAGCACCGGCUAACUCCGUGCCAGCAGCCGCGGUAAUACGGAGGGUGCAAGCGUUAUUCGGAAUCACUGGGCGUAAAGAGCGCGUAGGCGGUUUCUAAAGUCA
rnacentral:rRNA from 1 species